CACGCUGAUAAGACCAUACUCUAAUCACACGUCGCCCCGGUAGUGUCUAAACACGGACGAUUGAUAAUAAUGUGCGUGCUAGCUCGCUAAGCCUCGUGGCAUGAUUACUUUUUUUUCUCUCUCUCUCUCUCUUUCUCUCCCUCUCUCAUUCUCUCUCAUUCUCUCUCUCUCUCUCUCUCUCUCUCUCUCUCACGCACACUCUCUUUCUCUUUUUAUCUUUAUCAUUUUAUAUUUCACUCUCUCUCUCUCUUUUUUUUUCUUUUUUCUCUCUCUCAUUAUGAGAGAAGAUCCAAAGCCUAGUUAGCCUUUAACCGAGGCUAAUCGUUCCCCUAUUCGAUUCGCGUUUAAUACUCGUGUGGAACCGCGAUCGAAACGCGCCGAGGAGGAGUCUUUCGAAUGAAUCAACAUGUACUGAUUGGACAUCGGCCGAUGAGAAUCUUCUUCCUCGAUAUCAGCUAACCGUAACAACGAAUCACCAAUCGACCAAUGAACAAACCGAUCUGACGUAUCGACGUAUAUAUCAAACGACGACCUACCUACCAGGCCAACCGAAUGAAAGAUUUAUCACACAUUUUCUGCGUACUCGCAGACGUAGAAAGAGAGAAAGAGAAAGAAAGAAAGGAAGAGAGAGAGAGAG